GACGAACGCUGGCGGCGUGCCUAAUACAUGCAAGUAGGACGCAGUUGCGAACGGGUGAGUAACGCGUAGGUAACUACCUAUUAGAGGGGGAUAACUAUUGGAAACGAUAGCUAAUACCGCAUACUAGUAGAUGGACCUUCUUUGUAUUGGCUAGUAGGUAGGGUAAUGGCCUACCUAGGCAACGAUACAUGGCCGAAUCGAGAGGGGUAUUCGCCAACCCGGGACUGAGAAACGGCCCAGACCCCUUCGGGAGGCAGCAGUAGGGAAUUUUCGGCAAUGGGGGGAAACCUGACCGAGCAACGCCGCGGGAGUGAAGAAGGUUUUCGGAGCGUAAAGCUCUGUUGUUAAGGAAGCGGUACUUAACCAGAAAGGGACGGCUAACUACGUGCCAGCAGCCGCGGUAAUAC
rnacentral:rRNA from 1 species